CCAAAGAGAGGGACCUUCGGGCCUCUUGCCAUCGGAUGUGCCCAGAUGGCAUUAACUAGCAGGUGGGGUAACGGCUCACCUAGGCGACCAUCCCUAGCUGGUCUGAGAGGAUGACCAGCCACACUGGAACUGAGACACGGACCAGACUCCUACGGGAGGCAGCAGUGGGGAAUAUUGCACAAUGGGCGCAAGCCUGAUGCAGCCAUGCCGCGUGUAUUAAAAAGGACUUUGGGUUGUAAAGUACUUUCAGCGGGGAAGAAGGGAGUAAAGUUAAUACCUUUGCUCAUUGACGUUACCCGCAGAAUAAGCACCGGCUAACUCCGUGCCAGC
rnacentral:rRNA from 1 species